GCAGCCGCGGUAAUUCCAGCUCCAAUAGCGUAUAUUAAAGUUGUUGCAGUUAAAAAGCUCGUAGUUGAAUUUCGGGAUUGACACAUCGGUCGUGCCUUAAGGGGCAUGAACUGGUGUAGUCAAUUUCUCACCUUCUGGAGAACCGCGAUGCCCUUAAUUGGGUGUCACGGGGAACCAGGACCUUUACUUUGAAAAAUUAGAGUGUUUAAAGCAGGCAUUUUGCUUGAAUACAUUAGCAUGGAAUAAUAAAAUAGGACGGCAUGAUUCUAUUUUGUUGGUUUCUAGGAUCACCGUAAUGAUUAAUAGGGAUAGUUGGGGGCAUUAGUAUUCAAUUGUCAGAGGUGAAAUUCUUGGAUUUAUUGAAGACUAACUACUGCGAAAGCAUUUGCCAAGGAUGUUUUCAUUAAUCAAGAACGAAAGUUAGGGGAUCGAAGACGAUCAGAUACCGUCGUAGUCUUAACCAUAAACUAUGCCGACUAGGAAUCAGACGAUGUUAAUUUUUAAUGACUCGUUUGGCAC
rnacentral:rRNA from 1 species